ACAAAGGUGUCUUGCUGGACAGAGAUUCCUGCAUACCUGAAGCCUUCCAAAGGAUGGAUUGUUUCAGGGGAAACUAAAAGCCAAGCUAGAAGUUCUCCUCUGAGAAGGACUAAAGUGUCAUUGGUGCCACCGUGUUUCUCAACCAUUCUGAGUCCAGAGAAACAGCAUAAGUCUACUGGUUGAAACUGGGUGGAAGUAACCAACUGACUAGUCUUGCAGUAGCUGCAUGUGAUGUUUGAAGAGAGUAGGAUGUGUUCUGAUAAAAAUGUCAAGCAGGAGGGCCAGGCUUUCUUGAAUCUAGUUCUAGUUGUCAGGGAGCAACAAAGGCUAGCAGCCCAUGAAGAGGAGUGGGAGAGGAGCAGCCAAGGAGUUCCCUGCCACACACACACCUGAAGGAGCUGAGUCAGGACUAUGCAACAACUUCAGGCAUGGCAAAAGAAUGAGACCUUGCCUCAUCUGAGCGGUCCCAACAAAGUCUGCAUGAGAUAGUGCUGUGAUGUGAGGCUGCUAAUGCUGAGAACCAGCAUCUCUGCAGCACAGAUCAGAGAAGGACUGAAUUUCCAGGCCUGAAGCCCCUGAGCCUAUUGACUGUGGAGGAAUUGGGGAGGGAGAAUUUCACAAGUGAGGCUGCUCAGGGCUGUUAAUGUUUCUGAGUGCCCUCCAGGUCCUAACAUCAGUACUGGCCUUACAAUCACCUUAGAACUUGGCGAAGUCAGUGGUGUUUUCAAAAGUAUCCACUGACUCUGAGGAAUCAAAUUUAAGGACUCUUUGCAGUCUUGCAACAAUGCUCAAACAUCUGCAUUAUUCAUCUGGCCCUCAUCACUAUACUGAACUGUAGGGAAACUGUCAAAAUGCAUUACUUUCUACAUCUUUAUAUUUUAUAGGUCAAAUCAUUGUCCCUACUUUACAGGUAGGAUUACAGGUAGGAUUUCAAGGCUGAGGUAGACUAUUGGCAUGUCUGCACUGUGCAGUGAAGUGUGAAACAUACCUUGGGGUAAUAGUGUUUAUAGUUGCUUCAGAACCAGAAACAGAACAAUCUCAGCACAGCCUCUGAGCAAAUAAACUGUAAUGAUAUAAGAAUGAACUUACAAGAUCUGGCACAGUGGUGUCAGAUGUGGCCAGAUUGCUUUCAGAUCUCAUGAUUUUCUGUUCCUUCUUAAGUAAUGCCUUGCAAAUGUAUCAGCUUGGAAUCUCCAUGCUGUACUUGACUGUACACUGCAGCCAUGCCUGAAGUGGUUCACUUGUAGACAAUAAGGAAGUUGGUGGCAGAGUGCGAAAUACUUUUGGAGGGUUCUUCCUACAGCCUUGACUAAUGCUGAAUAGAUCACCUCUGGUAGUCACUGAGUAACCAAGGGAACAUUUGCAAAAAACAAACAAAAAAAACAUGUUCUUGAGGUUGACAAGAGGUGAAGCACAUUUUAAGAAUAUUUUAAGUUGUGUAGAUCUCCCUGUUUGGUCUGAAACACAAAAACAUCUCUUAGCUUUCAUCAAUACAAAAAGGAAAGGAGAUUGCAUCUCAUUCAGAGAUGGUAAGCAGAGCUUACCGACAGUAUUGCAGUCUGUGCUGCAGUCUCAGCAUUUUCUCUCUGUUUACCUUAUUACCUGACAGAAAUAAUUUGCAUAAAGAAAAAACAAACAAAAAAAAAAACAGUUGAGCUCAUCCUGUUCUGUUAAAUGUAGUAGCCAAGUUUCAGAGUGAACUCAAUUCCAGAAAGACUUGUUCUGAUGUUGCAGACUUUCUUUUCAUUCCUCUUUCCUCUGCUAGGGCCAGGUAAAGCGAUUCUUGAAAAUGUUUCUAAGACUGCAUUAAAAGCAAUCGCAAGCACUGAGAGAGAUCCAAUCACAAACAGUGCACCAUCAUCAACAACAGCUUCAAUGUGUAACAUCUCAUUUGCUCUGAAAUUGGUUAACUAUUAGAGUUUGUUUAAAUUCAGUUCUAUCUACUUGGAAAAUAGUAUUCCUGCUCUUUUGCUUAAUAUGCAACAGUGCAUGAAGCCUACCCUUUGUCUAUCUCACUCAAAUAACUGGGUACCACAUUGUCCUUGAUGUUAAAAUUCUUAGAAAUAAACGUUACUGA